UACAGAGGGGGCAAGCGUUAUUCGGAAUUAUUGGGCGUAAAGGGCGCGUAGGCGGCUUGGCAAGUGGAAGGUGAAAUCCCUCGGCUUAACCGAGGAACUGCCCUCCAAACUGCUUUGCUUGAGGCCGGGAGAGGUGAGUGGAAUUCCCAGUGUAGCGGUGAAAUGCGUAGAUAUUGGGAGGAACACCAGUGGCGAAGGCGGCUACCUGGCCUGUUCUUGACGCUGAGGCGCGAAAGCUAGGGGAGCAAACGGG
rnacentral:rRNA from 1 species